GUAAAAGUUGAAAAUGCAAAAGUUGAAAAUGUAAAAGUUGAAAAUGUAAAAGUUGAAAAUGUAAAAGUUGAAAAUGCAAAAGUUGAAAAUGCAAAAGUUGAAAAUGCAAAAGUUGAAAAUGUAAAAGUUGAAAAUGUAAAAGUUGUAAAUGCAAAAGUUGAAAAUGCAAAAGUUGAAAAUGCAAAAGUUGAAAAUGCAAAAGUUGAAAAUGUAAAAGUUGAAAAUGUAAAAGUUGAAAAUGCAAAAGUUGAAAAUGCAAAAGUUGAAAAUGCAAAAGUUGAAAAUGUAAAAGUUGAAAAUAUAAAAAAGUUGAAAAUGCAAAAGUUGAAAAUGUAAAAGUUGAAAAUGUAAAAGUUGAAAUUGUAAAAUUUGAAAAUGCAAAAGUUGAAAAUGCAAAAGUUGAAAAUG
rnacentral:lncRNA from 1 species